rnacentral:rRNA from 1 species
AGUGAACGCUGGCGGUAGGCCUAACACAUGCAAGUCGAACGGCAGCACAGUAAGAGCUUGCUCUUACGGGUGGCGAGUGGCGGACGGGUGAGGAAUACAUCGGAAUCUACUUUUUCGUGGGGGAUAACGUAGGGAAACUUACGCUAAUACCGCAUACGACCUACGGGUGAAAGCAGGGGAUCUUCGGACCUUGCGCGAUUGAAUGAGCCGAUGUCGGAUUAGCUAGUUGGCGGGGUAAAGGCCCACCAAGGCGACGAUCCGUAGCUGGUCUGAGAGGAUGAUCAGCCACACUGGAACUGAGACACGGUCCAGACCCCUACGGGAGGCCGCAGUGGGGAAUAUUGGACAAUGGGCGCAAGCCUGAUCCAGCCAUACCGCGUGGGUGAAGAAGGCCUUCGGGUUGUAAAGCCCUUUUGUUGGGAAAGAAAAGCAGCAGGUUAAUACCCCGCUGUUCUGACGGUACCCAAAGAAUAAGCACCGGCUAACUUCGUG